ensembl:snoRNA Gm23129 small nucleolar RNA SNORA17
ACUGGCCACUAGAGGCGCUGCAGGUGUGGCUGCUGUGCCACACCUGCCUCAUGAGGUGGGAGAGAGAAAAAGGCUAUACCCAUGCUCCACGUUCUGACCUGUGAACAUCUACGUGAUUAGUAGCCUGAUACU